AAAGUCGUAACAAGGUUUCCGUAGGUGAACCUGCGGAAGGAUCAUUAUCGAAUUUUAAAGGAUGUGCUGGCUGCCCUCACAGGUUUGCAUGUGCACUCCACAAAAUCUCCAUCCUCUACCCCAUUGUGCACAACCAGUAGCAAAACAGGUUCACAGAGCAAUCUGUGCACAUUGUCUGCCUACGCUUUUUUAUACCAAACCCCAAUAAUAUGUCAGAAUGAUGUAUUGCAGUAAGCUUUCACAAGCUGAAAUCUAAUACAACUUUCAACAAUGGAUCUCUUGGUUCUC
rnacentral:misc_RNA from 1 species